rnacentral:rRNA from 1 species
AACGAACGCUGGCGGCAUGCCUAACACAUGCAAGUCGAACGAAGGCUUCGGCCUUAGUGGCGCACGGGUGCGUAACGCGUGGGAAUCUGCCCUUUGGUUCGGAAUAACAGCUGGAAACGGCUGCUAAUACCGGAUGAUGACGAAAGUCCAAAGAUUUAUCGCCAGAGGAUGAGCCCGCGUUGGAUUAGGUAGUUGGUGGGGUAAAGGCCUACCAAGCCGACGAUCCAUAGCUGGUCUGAGAGGAUGAUCAGCCACACUGGGACUGAGACACGGCCCAGACUCCUAAGGGAGGGAGGAGGGGGGAAUAAUGGAAAAUGGGCGCAAGCCUGAUCCAGCAAUGCCGCGUGAGUGAUGAAGGCCUAGGGUUGUAAAGCUCUUUUACCCGGGAAGAUAAUGACUGUACCGGGAGAAUAAGCCCCGGCUAACUCCGUG